GGGGCUGCGGAGCUUACCAUGCAGUCGAGCGGAACGAUGGUAGCUUGCUACCAGGCGUCGAGCGGCGGACGGGUGAGUAAUACUUAGGAAUCUACCUAGUAGUGGGGGAUAGCUCGGGGAAACUCGAAUUAAUACCGCAUCCGACCUAUGGGAGAAAGGGGGCAACUUGUUGCUCUCGCUAUUAGAUGAGCCUAAGUCGGAUUAGCUAGAUGGUGGGGUAAAGGCCUACCAUGGCGACGAUCUGUAGCUGGUCUGAGAGGAUGAUCAGCCACACCGGGACUGAGACACGGCCCGGACUCCUACGGGAGGCAGCAGUGGGGAAUAUUGGACAAUGGGGGAAACCCUGAUCCAGCCAUGCCGCGUGUGUGAAGAAGGCCUUUUGGUUGUAAAGCACUUUAAGCAGUGAAGAAGACUCCUCGGUUAAUACCCGUGGACGAUGACAUUAGCUGCAGAAUAAGCACCGGCUAACUCUGUGCCAGCAGCCGCGGUAAUACAGAGGGUGCAAGCGUUAAUCGGAAUUACUGGGCGUAAAGCGAGCGUAGGUGGCUUGAUAAGUCAGAUGUGAAAUCCCCGGGCUUAACCUGGGAACUGCAUCUGAAACUGUUAGGCUAGAGUAGGUGAGAGGAAGGUAGAAUUCCAGGUGUAGCGGUGAAAUGCGUAGAGAUCUGGAGGAAUACCGAUGGCGAAGGCAGCCUUCUGGCAUCAUACUGACACUGAGGCUCGAAAGCGUGGGUAGCAAACAGGAUUAGAUACCCUGGUAGUCCACGCCGUAAACGAUGUCUACUAGUCGUUGGGUCCCUUGAGGACUUAGUGACGCAGCUAACGCAAUAAGUAGACCGCCUGGGGAGUACGGCCGCAAGGUUAAAACUCAAUGAAUUGACGGGGGCCCGCACAAGCGGUGGAGCAUGUGGUUUAUUCGAUGCAACGCGAGACCUUACCUGUCUUGACAUAUCUAGAAUCCUGCAGAGAUGCGGGAGUGCCUUCGGGAAUUAGAAUAACAGGUGCUGCAUGGCU
rnacentral:rRNA from 1 species